rnacentral:rRNA from 1 species
GAUGAACGCUGGCGGCGUGCUUAACACAUGCAAGUCGAACGGGAUCCCAGGAGCUUGCUCCUGGGUGAGAGUGGCGAACGGGUGAGUAAUGCGUGACCGACCUGCCCCAUACACCGGAAUAGCUCCUGGAAACGGGUGGUAAUGCCGGAUGCUCCAGUUGGAUGCAUGUCCUUCUGGGAAAGAUUCAUCGGUAUGGGAUGGGGUCGCGUCCUAUCAGCUUGAUGGCGGGGUAACGGCCCACCUAGUCAACGAUGGAUAGGGGUUCUGAGAGGAAGGUCCCCCACAUUGGAACUGAGACACGGUCCAAACUCCUACGGGAGGCAGCAGUGAGGAAUAUUGGUCAAUGGGCGAUGGCCUGAACCAGCCAAGUAGCGUGAAGGAUGACUGCCCUAUGGGUUGUAAACUUCUUUUAUAAAGGAAUAAAGUCGGGUAUGCAUACCCGUUUGCAUGUACUUUAUGAAUAAGGAUCGGCUAACUCCGUGCCAGCAGCCGCGGUAAUACGGAGGAUCCGAGCGUUAUCCGGAUUUAUUGGGUUUAAAGGGAGCGUAGAUGGAUGUUUAAGUCAGUUGUGAAAGUUUGCGGCUCAACCGUAAAAUUGCAGUUGAUACUGGAUGUCUUGAGUGCAGUUGAGGCAGGCGGAAUUCGUGGUGUAGCGGUGAAAUGCUUAGAUAUCACGAAGAACUCCGAUUGCGAAGGCAGCCUGCUAAGCUGCAACUGACAUUGAGGCUCGAAAGUGUGGGUAUCAAACAGGAUUAGAUACCCUGGUAGUCCACACGGUAAACGAUGAAUACUCGCUGUUUGCGAUAUACGGCAAGCGGCCAAGCGAAAGCGUUAAGUAUUCCACCUGGGGAGUACGCCGGCAACGGUGAAACUCAAAGGAAUUGACGGGGGCCCGCACAAGCGGAGGAACAUGUGGUUUAAUUCGAUGAUACGCGAGGAACCUUACCCGGGCUUAAAUUGCACUCGAAUGAUCCGGAAACGGUUCAGCUAGCAAUAGCGAGUGUGAAGGUGCUGCAUGGUUGUCGUCAGCUCGUGCCGUGAGGUGUCGGCUUAAGUGCCAUAACGAGCGCAACCCUUGUUGUCAGUUACUAACAGGUGAUGCUGAGGACUCUGACAAGACUGCCAUCGUAAGAUGUGAGGAAGGUGGGGAUGACGUCAAAUCAGCACGGCCCUUACGUCCGGGGCUACACACGUGUUACAAUGGGGGGUACAGAGGGCCGCUACCACGCGAGUGGAUGCCAAAUCCCUAAAACCCCUCUCAGUUCGGACUGGAGUCUGCAACCCGACUCCACGAAGCUGGAAAUCGCUAGUAAUCGCAGAUCAGAAAUGCUACGGUAAAUACGUUCCCGGGUUCU